rnacentral:rRNA from 1 species
GGCAUGUGCACACCCGUCACCUUUAUCUUUCCACCUGUGCACACACUGUAGUCCUGGAUACCUCUCGUCGGAAGGCGGACUUGGGGUUUGCCGUUUGCCCUCAGGCUCGGCUCACUCUGAAUUUCCAGGUCUAUGAUCUCACACACCCCCAAGGAAUGUAACAGAAUGUCAUCACAGGGCCCUUGUGCCUAUAUAAAUUUAUACAACUUUCAGCAACGGAUCUCUUGGCUCUCGCAUCGAUGAAGAACGCAGCGAAAUGCGAUAAGUAAUGUGAAUUGCAGAAUUCAGUGAAUCAUCGAAUCUUUGAACGCACCUUGCGCUCCUUGGUAUUCCGAGGAGCAUGCCUGUUUGAGUGUCAUUAAAUUCUCAACCUCACCAAUUUUGUCAUGAAGUUGUGUGUAGGCUUGGAGGUGGAGGGUUUUUGCAGGUCCACGACAGUGGUCUGCUCCUCUGAAAUGUAUUAGUGGGUUAGGCCCCUAAUCUAUUGGUGUGAUAACUAUCUACUCCAUGGAUUGGGUUGGUUUAUCAUAAGACCUGCUUCGAACCGUCCUUCUCUGGACAACUUUUGACAUUUUUGACCUCAAAUCAGGUAAGACUACCCGCUGAACUUAAGCAUAUCAAUAAGCGGAGGA